rnacentral:lncRNA from 1 species
CUCAGUUACUUUUUUUUUUAACACUAGAAGAUUAUAUAUUCAUUGAUACUAAUACAGAGGUUUAACCAUGAGGCCAGCGAGUUACAUUCCAACCCCUGGAAACAGAAGCCAACGGACAAAAGAAAGUCCUUGGAGACAUUAGCCGGAAACUACCGGAAACUAAAUAACAACGCAGUCCAUCCCAUAAACCAAAGUACAACAAAAAUCAUACUAGAUCACUAAGAACAAAAUACCCAAUAGCAGAAUAACCUGAAUCAAGUCGGAGCAUAGAAAUAGCACAAUCAAAGUCGAAAUUAUUGGCGUCUGAGACUCAAGCUUGGACCCAUUAUAUUGCUCCCAAAGAAUUGCAGAGCCAGAGAGUGCAAACGCUUGAAACGAGACGAGGAAGACGAGGAGAGAACUUUUUUUGCCUUGCGACUUCCAGACGACUUGAGAGAAAACGAGACAAAGCUCCUAACUUUGAACUGGAGCCAGAGAAUCUCUUCUGAGAAACUGAGAAUAGAGAACUCCACUUGAACACAGAUUCUCCACCAAUUGAAGUAUCAACAACAUCACACCAAAAGAUCCGAGCACGAGAAAGCAAAGCCAAGUGAGGAUAACUCACAUGCAAAGGUCAACCACCGUAAAUGGAGUCACAGACACCACAUGCAAAGCUUUCUUUUCAAUAUCAACUUCUGAAUCUAGAUCAUGAUUUAAGAAAAUACAAGUUUAUGAGAUGGAUGCUAAGCAAAAGAGAACACCGAAAAGGGAACAACUAUACAAAGACAACCGGACCGACGCCGUGACUAUGAGAGUCACUGAACGUCGGCCGGAAAACGAGAUCAACAAAGUUGAGCGGUAAAAAUUGAUCGGUGAUGAGAGAAGGGAGAGAAAAUAAGAGAGAGAAAAUAUGUUGUGAGCUUAGUUACUUUACUUUUGUCCAAUCAGGUUAAAUUUGUUUUCAACUUGUUUACACCAAAAAAGAAAAAAAGUAGAGCAAUUUGUUAUUCUACAAUAACUAAGAGGAAAAUUUUACUCAGAGAUUUGUUUUUCUUUUGUUCCAUUUUCCACCUACUUUUUUCCACGUUUUUACUCUGUUAAAUACCAAUCAGAACCUUAGUUGUGUGCUCAAUCAAUGCAAUUUGUAGCUUGAUUAUGUUGUCAGAAUAUUAAGAAACAAGUUAUACAAAUUUACAAAGUAUCAAAUCAGCUAGCAUUUUAUUUAGGUAGUAAGUUGGAUUUGAUGGAACGUAACAUAAUAUAGUCGUCAACAUGUGGUGCGGAUUUGUCAUUAAUUCAAAACGUCUGCCUAACUUGAGCUACGAGCUAUUAGAUAGAUGUGUGUAUAUAUUUAAAUGAAAAUGCAUCGAAUGACUGAUGUGAUUUUUUUACUUUAAGAAAUAAGAAGUGAGUUGGAUAUAUCUUUUAUAUUUCAAUAAAAGGGCCAAAGUUGGAUUUUUUUUUUGUAACUUAUAAAGUUGGUUUUUCCAUGUGCCAAAAUAUGGUAUUAAUACCAUGAAAUAUAGUUUCUAUUUUAAGUCGUGUAAUAUUGUAAGGAGCAGUAGUCUAUAUUUGUAUACUUAUUUUCCAAUUAAUUACAGUUUUUUGGGUAAUUUACUGAUAAGCAAAUUAAGGGCAGAUAAAUUUUUUUUAAACACUUUUUUUUUUAAACACAUUAAGGGCAGAUAAUUAUAAUUCUAUUAUUAUUAUUAUACCACGUGGGAGAAAAUGAAUAUAUUAUUAAGACCAGUUUUUUUUUUAAAUGAAUAUAUUAUUUUCUGAAGAGUACGGAGUUCUCUGUAGAACGAGAAACGCCGUUACAUCAACUGACAGCAAACUCGGUGGAUUCUCGCCAAGCAAAAGAUUUGUGCAGAAAAAUUCAAACAUAAUAACGUUGAUUCUCAUUUUCUUUUAUUUAUAGAAACUAACCUAAACGACGUUAGCAUGACGACGUCACCUGAGAAUCCCGAUGGACAUCUUCAGGACUUGAGUACUUUGCAGUUUGCAGACUUGCAAUUGUAAAGUGAUUUCAAUUAACAUCUACAGUCAACUCUUUCUUUACUAGGCCAGUGGAACUUUCAAUUGAGGGGACACGUCAGCAAAGGGAGACGCAAAAGGCGAUUAGGGUUUUGAAGUUUUUGGCUCACGUAACAUCUUGUCCAGCCGAUGUCGGCGCCGGAAACUCCUGUAGUUCCGGUGACGGACCCGCCGUUGAGUAAGGAUGGUCCAGUGAAACAAGGGAAGCCUUCAUGGGUGAAGGUAGUUGAGAAUGGUCCGUCCCUUACGGAGCAUGUUUUGGAGAUAGGGUUGAGUGAUGGGAAAGAAGUAGUCGAGGUUCCAGACGACGUGAUAGCAAACUCUGUUCCUCUUUGGGACGAUCUGCUAGAGGGACGUUUCCUCGCAAAGGCACCACAUGUGGCACGGAUCCAUUACAUAGUGAAUAGGAUCUGGCCUCUUGGAGAUAAAUCAAUUAAGAUUGAUGUCUAUGAAGUUAAUGAGGUCACUGUGAAAUUCAGAAUCAAAGAUGAAGCAACAAGGAAACGAGUACUUCGUAGGGGGAUGUGGAAUAUCGCGAAUAUUCCGUUGGUUCUCUCAAAAUGGUCACCGGAAGAUGAAGAAGAAGAGGAGGAAGAAAUCACAACCAUACCAAUGUGGAUCGUCAUGAAGAAUGUUCCUCGCAGAAUGUUCUCUUGGAAAGGACUAGGUUUCAUUGCUAGUGCAGUGGGUAAACCUAAGAGAUUGCAUCCGGAUACACUUCUGUGUAAUAGUUUUGAAGAAGCAAAAGUUUUUGUUGAAGCAGAUAUGACAAAAGAGCUACCAACUCAUCAUCGUUUCAAGUCAAAGCUGGGCGUAGAUGCGGAGGUGGAGUUUACCUACCCAUGGUUACCGGACAGAUGCACAAUCUGCUCUAAAUGGGGACAUUUGCAUGCAGCUUGUAAGUCAAAAGUGAAAAUCCUAACCAAAGACAAGCCACAACAUGUGGAGAAGAAUGGGCGGGAGAAUACACAAGAGAGAGUUCUACACAAUAAAGAGGCUGAUACAGUACAAAGAAAUGAUAAGGAAGUUGAGGUUGUGGUAAGUAUUGAGAGUAUGAAGGAUUCUGAAGCUGCCAUAGGAUGUGCAGAUGGAGAAAAGAAAUCAGAUGAUCUUCUCACUAGGGGAAACAUGUCGUCAGACAUAGAGAUCGUUCACCACGAAUCUGAGAAGUCUAAUGGCAAUACAUCUGAGGGGGAGAACUCAGAAUGGCUAAAUGUAUCACCUACUAAGACUGGAAGGUCGGGGAACAAGAUUACGGCUCAAAACCAGAAUCAUAAUCUCAGCUCACCAUCUCGAUUUGCAAUUUUAUCUACGGCGGAGGAUUCAGUAGAAGAAGUAGAUGAAAAUGAAGCCAAUAUUACUGGAAAGGAAACAGAGGAAGGAGAAAUAAUUCCUGAGAGUGUGGGGAAUGAAACAGAUGAAGGAAAAGAAGAAAGUGAAGUCAACUCUCAGGAAGUAAGAGAAACCAACAUAAUGAAGGAAAAAGUUGAGGUGAGAGAAGAACGAUUACUUCGCUCCACUAUUCCUCGACCAACUCGUGGCUCCACCAAAGCUCAAUCAGACUCUCGAAGCACUAGUACUAAGGACACAAUCCAAAGUACUGGUGGAAGAAAGAAACACUCUAAAAAACAUUAAUGUCGGGUUUCUUCUGGAACAUCCGAGGUUUUAAUAAGAAGAAGAAGCAUGUAGUUGUAAAGAAGUGGGUUGAAGAUAAAGGGUUUCAAUUUGGUGCACUUUUGGAAACGAGGGUUACUGAAGGAAGAAGUAGGAGGAUCUCUGCAUCAGUUUUCAAUGGCUGGUCUAUGAUGUCCAAUUAUGAAGAUAAUUCUUUGGGUCGCAUUUGGUUUGUAUGGCGGUCUGACGUGCGGGUUACGCCUGUGUUUAAAAGUGAUCAAUUGAUCACGGUGUCUAUUGCUCUAGAGGGGGACGAAAAAGAAUUUUUUCUCUCUGUUGUCUAUGCUCUUAAUACAGAAACAGAGAGGCAGGUAUUGUGGGAGGAUUUGAAGAAUCAUCAAAAUUCUCCAGUAUUUCGAAGUAAACCAUGGCUGGUGAUGGGGGAUUUUAACGAAACUCUUGACAUAGCCGAGCAUUCACUGUAUGAAACGAGCCCAGUAGUCACACAUGGUAUGAGAGAGUUUCAGAGUGUCGCACAACAUUGUUCUCUGCUUGAUCUCCCUUCUCACGGUCCAGUUUAUACAUGGAGUAAUAAAAGGACUGAGGGGAUAAUCUCAAAGAAGCUGGACCGUGCUUUGUUUAAUGACUACUGGCUCAACUCUUUUCCGGGCUCGUAUAAUGUGUUUGAAGCAGGAGGGUGUUCAGACCAUUUACGGUGUAGGAUACAUUUGAGUUCAGAGCAGAGUCGACCUAAGAGGCCUUUCAAAUUUGUUAAUGCGGUGGCAAGUCUUGAAGGCUUUCUACCGAUGAUGGCGCAGUAUUGGACGGCUUCGGUUCCCAUAUACUCAUCGACCUCAUCUUUAUACAGAUUCUCCAAAAAAUUGAAAGACCUGAAGCCAAAGAUCAGGAUCUUAGCGAAAGAGAGUAUGGGGAACCUGACAAGAAAAACAAAGGAAGCAUAUGCGGAUCUCUGUUUAAAACAGGAACAAUGUAUGCAUGAUCCUUCAGAGAGAAACUCCGAAGAAGAAGCCAGAGCCUAUGAUAGAUGGGACAAAGUAUCAGACCUAGAGGAGAGUUUCUUAAAGCAAAAGUCAAAGGUUCACUGGUUGAACGUGGGUGACAAGAAUAAUAAGGUGUUCCAUCGAGCAGCCACUGUGCGAAACAUUCAAAACUCGAUAAAAGAAGUAGUCUGCCGGGAUGGUAGAGUGGUACGAAAACCAGAUGAGAUCAAAGAGGAAGCAGAGGGUUUUUUUAAGGAGUUUUUACAGCACAAGCCAGAUGAUUUUGAGGGCAUAGAGGUGGAGGAGUUGAGGGACCUCUUGACAUACCGCUGCUCUGACUCGGUGAACGAAAUGUUAUUAAAAGAGGUCACUGCAGAGGAGAUAACCAAAGUACUCUUUGCAAUGCCAAGUGAUAAAUCUCCAGGACCGGAUGGUUACACGAUUGAGUUUUUUAAGUCUGCAUGGCCAAUCAUCGGAAAGGAAUUCAUCAUCUCUAUCCAGUCUUUCUUUGAGAAAGGUUUCUUACCUAAAGGCAUCAAUUCCACAAUUUUGGCUCUGAUACCUAAGAAGACUCCAGCCCGCGAGAUGAGAGAUUACCGUCCGAUCUCUUGCUGUAAUGUUAUUUAUAAAGUCAUCUCCAAACUCAUCGCAAACAGACUGAAGCACACUCUUCCAGAUUUUCUUGCUUUGAACCAGUCUGCGUUUGUAAAAGGCAGGCUACUUAUUGAGAAUCUCCUACUAGCUACUGAGUUGGUGAAAGACUAUCAUAAGGACUCGAUCUCUCAGCGGUGUGCUUUGAAAAUUGACAUUUCCAAGGCUUUUGAUUCAGUUCAAUGGAGUUUUCUCUUGAAAACUCUUGAGGCUAUGAAUUUUCCAGCUCAAUUUAUUCAUUGGAUUUCUCUUUGUAUCACCACGGCAUCCUUUUCGGUUCAGGUGAAUGGUGAGCUUGCUGGAUAUUUCCAAAGUGAGAGGGGUUUAAGACAGGGAUGCGCCCUUUCACCAUAUCUCUUUGUCAUAUGCAUGGAUGUGUUGUCAAAGCUUCUCGACAGAUCUGCCCAAAGACAUCAACUCGGUUAUCAUCCUAAGUGUAAGAACUUGGGCCUCACACACUUAAGUUUUGCGGACGAUAUCAUGGUCUUUACGGAUGGGAGAGUAAGAUCAAUUGAAAGUAUAGUGGAUGUGUUUGAUUACUUUGCGAAAAUAUCUGGCCUAAGGAUAAGUAUGGAGAAAUCAACAAUAUAUUAUGCUGGAAUAUCUGAGGAAGAACGAGAAGAGCUGAUAAACCGGUUUGAAUUUGCUUCGGGUACGUUACCGGUGCGCUAUUUGGGUCUACCGUUGCUUACUAGACAGAUGCGUGCGNNNNNNNNNNNNNNNNNNNNNNNNNNNNNNNNNNNNNNNNNNNNNNNNNNNNNNNNNNNNNNNNNNNNNNNNNNNNNNNNNNNNNNGCUUAUUGAAAAGAUCAAGAGCCGUAUCUCUACGUGGACAAACCGGUUUCUCUCCAUGGCUGGGAGACUGCAGCUCAUUCGUUCAGUACUGAUGAGUAUUGUAAACUUCUGGAUGACGGGUUUCAAGCUGCCGAGUCAAUGUAUCAAGGAGAUUGAUAGUCUCUGCUCAGCUUUCUUAUGGUCAGGACCUUCUCUAAUCACAACGAAAGCGAAAGUAUCAUGGGAUGUUGUGUGCUUACCAAGGAAAGAAGGAGGUCUGGGCCUUAGAUCACUCAAGGAAAUGAACAAGGUGCUCUGUCUGAAACUGGUGUGGAGAUUACUCUCUGCUCAACCUUCUUUGUGGAGCAAAUGGAUACAUACAUACUUGCUUAAAAGAGACACUUUCUGGACAGUGAAAAACACAACUUCUGCAGGUUCAUGGAUGUGGCGGAAGCUUUUAAAAUACAGAGACAUUGCAAAAAAAUUUCAUCGCAAGAAGGUAGGUGAUGGUAAUCAAACAUCUUUCUGGUUUGACUCCUGGUCUUCACUAGGAUGUCUAUUUGAUCUCACGGGGGCCCGAGGUUGUAUUGACAUGGGUAUCCGCUUGACUGCGACUGUCUCUUCGGCUCUGCAACGACGCCGGCGAAAUCAUCGCAGUGAGAUUUUCAAUAGUAUUGAGGCUGUUCUGGAGCAUCAGAGGAGUAAUCUAACAAAUGCGGCUGACUACUCUAUCUGGAAGAGUUCUUCUGAUACAUACAAGUCUGUCUUUACUACAAAAAAUACAUGGAAUCUACUCCAUCAGGAAGGAACCACAGUUGAAUGGUGCAAAGGUCUCUGGUUCAAACAUCAUACUCCAAAGUUUGCAUUCUUCACAUGGCUUGCUCUACACAACCGGCUCUCAACAGGAGACCGUAUGCUUCAGUGGAAUGCAGGAGUUAGCUCGGCAUGUAUCUUCUGUAACCAGUUUGAAACUAGGGAUCAUAUAUUUUUCUCUUGCACUUACUCGGCUGCUGUCUGGUCUCAGCUGAUGAGAGGUUUGCUGCGUACUCGAUACACAACACUAUGGACAGAAGUGUUGGAGCUCACGCUUGACAACAGUCUUGGUAUGAUCACCACCUUUCUUACACGAUAUGCGUUUCAGAUCACCAUACAUACUCUAUGGCGUGAGAGAAACGAUAGACGGCACGGGGCAACUCCGAUCUCAGUUCAAGCAUUAGUAAAGAUGCUGGACAGGCAAAUCAGGAACAAAUGUUUAUCUUUUAGGCAGCUGGGGGACUUUACUUAUGCUGCAAGCUUAAGCGAUUGGCUUGCCACACGCUAACAAUGGAGCUGUUUUUUUAGAAUCUUUCUCGUCAUAAGAAUUAUGUAGCACUUGAUGCAAACAAUGUGUAUUUUUCUUUUUGAGUAAAUUUAACAUAUAUUCAAAAAAANNNNNNNNNNNNNNNNNNNNNNNNNNNNNNNNNNNNNNNNNNNNNNNNNNUUUAACAAUUCUUAAAAAAAAAAAAAAAAAAAAAAAAAUUAACAUCUACAGUCCAACUAGAUUUUGUAGUCUCUAUGGAUUCACAUAGAAAAAAAACCCCCCUCUAUAAAUGUUAAUCCAUGUCAUGACGAUUGUAUCACAGUUACAACAUUAUCCCUCUAUCCACAUGGACCACAUCCAUAUUGCCAUUAGAAUAAAUAUAGUUUAUAAGUAAUUUCGUGUAACUAAAUAAAUUUCAGUAUCAUUGCUAAGAAUUCCGAAUAGAAGUACAAUUGAAUUAUUGAAGUAUGAGUCCUUAUCUCAGGCACUCGAGUUCGAGUUCUUUGUUACCAUAGGGUGGAUGAAAGUACGUCAGCAGGUCCCGCUUAAAUAUAUAUACAAUAUUUUGUCCAAAGGAUUUUUUUUUUGAACAAAUCCAAAGGAUUAUUUAAGUUAAGUUUUAAUAGUUUUUGCUGUUGGGAUGUUAUUUAAUUAAGACCAACCAGACCAUUAAUAUUUUGUACGUUGUUAUUAUUAUUAUUAUUUUAUUUUUUUAAAACUAUUUUGUACAUUAUUACUGUUUGAGCAUUUUUACCUUCCAUACAAAAGGUUUAAAUGUUUAUACAUUGCUAGGUAGAUAUGCUACAAUUAGGCUUGCAAAGCACCCAACGUAUUUACGGAGAGACUUUUUGUGGAGAGAGAUUAUUUACAGAAUUGUAUUAAGUAAAAUGUAGGUAUUUUUUAAGUCAAACAAUCAUGAAAAAAAGAACAUUGCUUGGCGAUCUUCAUAUGUGCUAAUUGCCAAAUCCGUGAUGUAAUGCGAGAAAGCGAAAACAAGAAGAGAGUAACUAAUAAUUACGUGCACUUUAAUUUACUGUAAUACUUUAUUGGAGUGCUUUGGUUCUUUUCUUAAUUUUGUGGUCCAUCUUAGCCAAAAGAGGAAAUACUUUCAUGUAUAGAUAAUUGUAACAUAACACACAUUUGCUUAAUGUUUUUUUUUUGAACAUUCAAUUGCUUAAUGUUCGAACUCACAGUUUAUCAUUCAGUUUCAUUAUUAUCCCACGCAGACGAAAAAUCCUGUAAUGAUUGUUUCAAACAUGAUUAUUACAAUACAUUCGAAUUUACUUUCCCGUUUUCUUUAUCAUUUUCUGGCGGAUCUUAGAAUAUAGCUGUUGCAAAGUUAUUCGUUACGGUGUUGAACUUAUUAUAUACACUAGGUUUUAAACUCGUAUAGUUUACUUAAAACACGUCUAUAAUACUUUUAAGCGAAAAAUUAUCCUCCAUAGUUGUCAUCAUUAUAUUUUUAGAGAUUACAUAUUUUUGUCAACAAAUACGAAUAAUAUAGGUCAUAGUAAUGUACGAAAUGUGAAAUAUGAUGUCUGCAACAAAACACAACUUUCCACCCAUAAGGAACAUUUUUUUCUUAGCUGCAAUGCAUGGCUUAUCGGGCUAUUCACCUGCGCAAUUUGCUAAAAAUAAAGGUCGUUGCGAUUGCUCUCUAACUAUAUAGAAUUAAAAAAAAAAACUGUAUACAGAAAUAUUAAUGUAACUGAAUUGCUCAAAUUUUAUCAACCUUUGCGGGAUAACCAUCCACGCGUACUAUAACCAUAAUCGCAUGAUCAGAAUUUAUGGUGUAAGAAGUAAUUUAUUCCAGCAAAUAAAAUAAGAACACGACAAAAAGAAGACAUAAAAAGUACAAUAGAAAUGUCAGUAAGUACUGUAUGUGAAAGACUGAGACACAGCACAGUUUGUACAAAUAACCUGUUCGACUGUCACCGCUUAUAGCCGGUUACCUUCUCUCAAUUUCCCGUAUAGCCUCUCCCACCAAACCCGGAACUUUUCACUUUUCAGUUUAUAAAUUAAAUCAUUUAUACAAAUCUUUGAACAGCAUUACCUUACCUCAUUUGCCUAAUGAAAAUCCGCACAAUUACCAAACCCAAUGUUUAUGAGUGUACAUCGCUUGAAUACCUGUUAUAUUUUUUUCUUUUCUAGUUGUAACAUAUUUUUAAAUUUGAAGAAGUAAAUAGGUUCAAGGGGUCAGUGCCGAAGCUCACCUUCACGACCGCCUUCCUACAAGAUCAAGACUCGUAGCAUGGGGACUACCUAUCUCUGCCAACUUCCCCUUCUGCUCCAGAGACACGUAGACUAGGGAUCACAUCUUCCUCUCUUGCGAGUACAGCUUUGACGUCUGGCGUGAGGUGCUGAUUCGAUGUAACCCGCCUCCCCUCUAUUUCAUGGAAUGGUCUGAACUGCUGUCAUUGGAUCCGAGCUGCUGCAUCUGUGAAGCUAAAGCUCCUUCGGAAACUAGCUACACAAACAGUUAUAUAUCAUCUAUGGAAGCAGCCUAACAAUCUCAUUCACAAUCAGACGUCUCUGCCGGCGACUUCGGUGUUCCAUGGUAUUGAUAGAGAGUUGAAAAAUAAUAUUUCAGCUAGGAGACAAAGAAAGCAUUUCUCUCUCCUUAUGGCAUUGUGGUUGAGAUAAACUUGCCAUUUUUUUGUUUAACAUGGUGAUCUAUUUUGUUUUGCCGAGAUGGCUCAGAACUAAGAUUUUUUUUGUAAAAUUUUUUCUUUGUUUAUAUGAUAUUUACAGUGUAGCAAAAAAAGAAAAGAAGAAGUAUAUAGAUGCGGUGGAGUGAACGAGUUGUUUUUGGAUAAAAGGUUCUAAGAUCAUCUCCAAUCCCCCUCUAUUUUUAUCUCUAUAUUUUCCUCUAAAAUAGAGAAACUCUAUUAUAGAUGUGGAUUUGCUCUAAUGUAUGCUUCUAUAAUAGAGUUCCUCUAUUUAUAGGGAAAAAUAUAAAGAUUUGCUAUUUUCAUCUCUAAAUAUAGAGGUAAAAAGUAGGAUUCCUUUAUAUUUUCCUCUAAAAUAGAGGAACUCUAUUAUAGAGGCAUACAUUGGAGCAAAUCCACCUCUAUAAUAGAGAUUUCUAUUUUAGAGAAAAAUAUAGAGAUAUACAUUAGAGAUGCUCUUAGAAUGAAAGAAGUAAUGUGCAUUAUUGACCCAGUAAAGAUGUAGUGAGAAAACGUAAUACUUAUGAUGCAAUUGUUGCUUCCACCGCUAAAUAAUUUGUGUGUGUGUUUACUUGUAUUCAGGCCUUCAAGCUUUACAUUCUGAUUAGUUAUGAUGCCUAAUCGUAAAAAUUAAUUAAUAAAAAUAAUUUAGAAGAUUUUUAAAUGACCUGUUCUCGUAGUUUAAAAAUUAGUAUAUGAUUAUCAUAUGGAAUGUCCUUGAAAAUUAAUUUCUAAGAAAUAUAACUAAAUAUAAAGUACUUAUAUACGGACGGAAUCACGUAGAUAACUGGAAAAGUAUAAACAUAAAUAUUCAUGAAAACUUCGUUUACCUAUGAGAGCAUUAACUAGGUAGUUACAAACACCGAAAAGAUUAUCCUUUGACCAAACUGUAUUGCUCAAUAAAUUCUUCCGCACUCACUCACUAAACAGUAGACGUCUAUAUGAAGAUACACAUACAUACUUGAUACUUGAUCGUGCUUCAAAAAGAAAGCAGAAAAGCUCCUUUCUCUCUCUCUCUUAACCUCUCGUUUCAUCCGUCACCUUUAUUAUCUCUAAACACUGUUACACUAUUCUCUGUAUCUCUAUCUCUGCAUCUCUAAAUCAUCCUCUUCCAUGGCCGAUGCUUACGAGCCUUACCAUGUCCUCCAACAAAGCCGACGAGAUAAACUUCGGAUUCCUUCUCUUGAUUCCCACUUCCACUUUCACCACCCUCCUCCUCCUUCUUUUUCCGGUGGAGGCCUGUUUCCUCUCGCCGGCUCCGAUUACCUCGCCGCCGGUGGAUUUCACUCCAACAGUAACAACCACAUAUCCAACCCUAGCUACAGUAAUUUUAUGGGAUUUCUUGGUGGCCCAUCUUCCUCUUCAUCCGCUGCAGUCACCGUCGCCGGAGAUCCUUCCUUUAACGGUGAGCUCUCUUCCGGUGACGUUCUCGUCUUCAGACCCGAGCCUUUAUCCCUGUCUUUAUCAUCUCACCCUAGACUUGCCUACGAUCCAGUUGUUCCCGGCGCUGUUAGCUCCGGAUUCUCUAGAUCCGCCGCUGAAGCCGCUGCAGCCGCCGUCACCGUCGCGUCGAGAAGCUCCGGUCCUUUAGGACCGUUCACUGGCUACGCAUCCAUUCUGAAAGGCUCGAGGUUCUUGAAACCAGCACAGAUGCUUCUUGAUGAGUUUUGUAACGUGGGACGUGGGGUUUACACCGACAAAGUCAUGGAUGACGACGAUUCUUCUUUGCUUUUUGAUCCCACGGUUGAGACUCUCUGCGGCGUCUCUGAAGAACAUGGGAAGAAAAAAUCAAAACUCAUCUCCAUGCUCGACGAGGUAUAGUUAAUCAUACAAUUUCUAUCUUUUUUUCGUUCUAAAAAGCCAUCUAAACGUACACUCUGGUAAUGCUAUAAAAAUACCCAACUAAUACUGUAUUGUCUUAGACUUUUUUUUUUAUCACACAGACUUUUUAUACUUAUGUAUGUGCAUUAUUGUGUUAGAUGCUCACAGUUUUUGGUUGGCGUCCUUUGAAAUUGAAGACAAAAUGUAUGUCUCUUAGGAAGAUCUUCCUUGGAAAAUGGAACUCCUUCAAAGCCAUUUUAAACUAUACUAUCGUUUUAAAUAUUGUAUUCAGCGAGUAUGCAUUCUUAUUUUAACUAAUCAUUCCCUACGUUUUGCAUGAAUAGAAGAUGUUUAUUACCAAGUCCACAUUAAUGUUUACAAAGCUUGCCUUCAUCUUCCUUAUUAGUAGUAGCCUUUAAGGUUAUACUAAAUUAAUGAUAAAUAUUAUCUUGGGGAAGUAACUUUAUAUGGAGCUUACUUGUCUUUUGUCUAAACGUAUGAAUUGGAUUCUUUAAAUCUUUUGUGGAUAUAAAUUAAACUUGAUAAAAAAAAAGAGAAUAUCUUCUUUAUGAAAGGGAAUAUAUGCACGAGAUUGGUAUUUGAUCGCAAGCUAGGGACUUAAAGACUUAAUUAGUUUAUUUCGUGGUAUAAAGUGUACUUUUUGAGUGUGGAAAAAACGUAUGGUCCAUUGAAGUUUACAAUUUACACAUUUUAAUUAAUAUAAUUGGUUCGGAACUAAAGUCAUUUCUAUUGUGACGUUUUUACUAGGCUUACAAGAGGUAUAAGCAAUACUAUGAGCAGCUUCAAGCUGUAAUGGGCUCAUUCGAAUGCGUAGCAGGACUCGGGCAUGCAGCUCCUUAUGCAAGCUUAACUUUAAAGGCAUUGUCUAAGCAUUUCAAGUGUCUGAAGACUGCUAUAACACAAGUAAACAGGAUGAAAUCGAGUUUCUCUCUCUUGGCGAUUUUGCUCCCAGACACGAGUUUUGAGAUUGGUUAUUAACCAGGCAAGUCGUAGGCGCAUCCCGACAAACCGUUGGUUAAUAGUACUCCUUUUACACUAACUGGUCAACUGCUUCUCUGCUGGUUACGGAAAAGAUUCAAAUUGUUCCUGCUUUUGGAAGUAACUGCUGGUCCAAACCAAGCUCUGGUCAGAAACACAACGGGUUCUUUCCCCCGACUCGGGUCGGAGGGACCGCCGCCGUGACGAGCUCGCCUGAGUGGUACCGCUAGUUGACUGGGGCUCCGGUCUGUUUCAACUUUAUGUGAAACAAACUAGUUUUGGGUCUUGAAACCUUUCUCCAAGCUAUCUGCAAAAGGUUUUCAAGAAAAAUUUCAUCAUUCUGUCACCAUACCGAUUUACAGCAAAAGAGGCAACUUUGCUAUGGAGAGAAGACUUUCGGCUACUGAAAAAGGAAAAGGAAUCACUACAGGGGAGUACGAACCACCCCGAAAGGCGAGGGUGAGAAUCCAAGCUCCAGACAGCGUACCCCUUCUACAACAACACUCGCUCACACUGAUUGGUCGAGUGACAAACAACUCAACUCAAAAAGUUUGGAAUCUGAUUCCUUUCUUCGCAGAACACUGGCGGACUAAUACACCACCCAUUGGAGCUGAUUUGGGUCAGGGGGUCUUUAAGUUCCAGUUUGCUUCAGAGGAAGAUCUCCAGACGGUAUUAGAAAACCGCCCUUAUCACUACAAUCGAUGGAUGAUUAUACUCCAACGAUGGGAACUCACACUCUCCCCAAACUUCCCUUCACUCAUACCUUUUUGGAUCAAAGUUCAGGGUAUUCCGGUUCACCUUUGGACGGAAGAGACACUGAGGGCUAUAGGGGAAGACUUUGGACUGGUGGAAAGUGUCGAUAUUACAAACCAGGCAGCCAGAAUGAGGGUGCAUGUUAAUGGGAGGCUUCCCUUGAUUACAUCUUCAGUACUGGAGUAUUCAAGCGGCGAGGAAGUCACUGUAAACCUAGUUUAUGAACGACUAGAGAGACAUUGUUCCUUGUGCUUUCGGCUUGACCAUGAACUACGAGACUGUCUGGAAGCGAAAGCACAAAAGAAAGCUCAGGGCAGACAACAAUCUGCUCCCUUCAGGACUAAAGGUGGGGAAAACACUAGUGAGCAACAAGCAGCACAACAUCCUGAGCGAGGAACCCCCUUUCGAUUUACAGCUACAGACAAUGGCUCUGAACAGUCAAGAUACAAGGGAACUAGAACCUAUAUGGAACGGCGUCCUGAGAGGCGAAAUGAGAGAAAUACACUCUACAAGGCAGGAGAAGGGUAUAGGGGAGGAGAAGAAGAGGGCAGGAAAGGGAGAACAAAGAUCGCUCCAACGACCUAGAGACACAGAGACUCAGAAGAGAACGACAGAUGUCGCAUCGACGGAACUAUGAGGAAGGCACUAACGCAUUUAAAGCUAGAGAGCCUGCUCACAGACCUCAAGCGGUUUACAGAGAAGUGAGGAAGACUAGAGAGGUAUCAAGAAAGGUGUCGCCUGUUCAAACAAGGACUACGCCUACUCAUUCAAAAGGGGUUCCUUUUGAAAGUAGCCAGCAAACGAUACCAACAGAGGCACUAGAGACAGCAAUGGAAGAAAUCAGAGAGGUCAUGACACAGUAUUCAAACAUAGCUGACCCAUCUGAGAGUGCUGCUAGGAAGGAAAGAUUCCGACAAGCUGAAGAGCAGGGGCAAAUAAAAGAAACCGCAGAAGCCAUGGUGCGUGCUGAACUUGAAGCUCAAACGCAUGAGCUUCAAGACCUAGAGGAACCGGGAAUUCGAAUCCCUGCAUCCCACAGGAUAUCCUUUCCCCCUGCUACUGAAACACAUGUGGAACGGAUCCCAGCAUCACGCAGACUAGCGUUGGCUCCUCCUCCGGUGUCGGAGAAAGGAAGACUACCUAUAGCUUCUAGACUGGGAACAACAAAGUUGGUAAAGCCAUCAGAAACGGGAGGCGACCCUGAAGCCACAACAAAAAGAAAACCAGGAAGACCUCCGGGAAAAAGGAAAGUACUAGCAAGUCCGAGGACAGGAGCAGGAACAAACCCAAGGAGAAGGAAAACUCAACAAGCCAACGCUCCCAAGUGCAAGAAGAAGCUCAUCCCGGAUACAACAACUUCGGAAAAAGUUCCUAAAGCUAGACACAGUCGAGCAACAGAUAAACCCUCUGAACCAAGCGAUUCAGAAGACCGAGCUUCGGAUGACCAGCCCCUAAGGAACCUUCUACCCCUGAGGAAGAAGACGGUGGAUUUUCAAAAUCCACCAAAUCGAGUUCCUUAGCGAUACUGAGCUGGAACUGUCAGGGGUUGGGGAAUCCCCAGACAGUUCGCAGAUUAAGGGAGAUAAAGAAGCGCAAUGAUCCCGAUGUUAUCUUCCUUAUGGAAACAAAAAAUUCCUCAGAGAUGAUCCUUCAACGACUGGAGCAACUUAACUUUGAUCAUCACUACCUAGUGCCACCGACGGGACACGGCGCCGGAGGCCUAGCUCUCUUUUGGAAACAAAAUGUUGUACUCGAUAUUAUCUCGGCUGAUGCAAAUUGUAUUGAAACGAGUAUUACAUUCGAAGGAAGGAAUUUCUUUUCAUCUUUUGUCUAUGGAAAUACAGACAGACCUCUCC